rnacentral:misc_RNA from 1 species
UCGUAACAAAAGAGGUGCGAGGGCUGUCGCUGACCCCCCAAAGGUCGUGCACGCCCGAGUGCUUCCAUACAAUCCAUCUCACCCCUUUGUGCAUCGCCGCGUGGGUUCCCUCCUUUGCGGGGAAGGGCCUGCGUUUUAUCAUAAAACUUGAUACAGUGUAGAAUGUUUUUACUUUUGCGGUCAUACGCAAUCAAUA